UUCAAAAUAAGUGAUUCAAUCCGUCCCUUUUUUUGUAGUGCUAAUCCAUCUCUAACUCUUAUAAUUAGUCAAUUGCAUUGGUAUGUGACACAUUUUGAGCAUAAAAAUACUAACAAAGCUAUUUACUGCUUCUAAGCAAUAUUUUGUUGGUUUUAGCUUCUUUUAGGAGAAAUUAGAUAUAAGUAUUGUCUAAACACUCAUAAUCCAUCUCUAACUCUUAUAAUUACUCAAAUUGUGAUACAUUUUGAUUAUAGAAACACUAACAAUUCUAUUUACUGUUUCUAAGCAAUAUUUUGUUGGUUGUAGCUUCUUUUAGGAGUAAAUGGGUAUAAGUGUUGUCUAAACACUCCUAAUCCAUCGCUAGCUCUUAUAAUUAGUCAAAUGCAUUAGAUUGUGACACAUUUUGACCUUAGACACACUAACAAAUCUAUUGACUUCUUCUAAGCUUGUUUUGUUGGUUUUAUCCUCUUUUGGGAGGAAAUGGGUAUAAGUGUUGUCUAAACACUUCUUAUCCAUCUCUAACUCUUAUAAUUAGUCAAAUGCAUUGGAUUGUGUCACAUUUUGACCAUAGAAACACUAACAAAUCUAUUGACUGCUUCUAAGCAAGUUUU
rnacentral:sRNA from 1 species